rnacentral:misc_RNA from 1 species
AACGCACAUUGCGCCCGCCAGUAUUCUGGCGGGCAUGCCUGUCCGAGCGUCAUUUCAACCAUCAAGCCCCCGGCUUGUGUUGGGGACCUGCGGCACACCCGCAGGCCCUGAAAACCAGUGGCGGGCUCGCUGUCCACACCGAGCGUAGUAGCAUCUUUGUCUCGCUCAGGGCGUGGGGCGGGUUCCGGCCGUGAAAGCCACCUUCUCAAGGUACCCAAAGGUUGACCUCGGAUCAGGUAGGAAGACCCGCUGAACUUAA